GAUGUCUCAGUCUUUCUCUCUCCACCCCUCUCCCACUUACACUCUCCCUCUCUCUCCCAAAAUAAAUAAAUAGACUUAAAAAAAAAAAAAAAAAAAGAACCAAUAAGAGGAAAACAGAUUCACAGAGGCCAGUUUAUGCAACAAAAAAUACAAGUUGCAAAAAUAUUGGGGGGAAACUACUGUCCAGCCUUCUUAUUUAAAUUGCAAACACCUUUUAGUUGAUGAUUUGGCCGCAAUUUAGUGGAUUAGCAAUUCUCAUACACACCUGUAGGGCAACUUGAUUAUAUGUAUCAAAAUCCAUAAAAAUAUGUUUUGAUAUACUAAUUCUUCUAAAAGUUUAUGAGUAAAAACAUUGAAAACCCCCUAAUCAAAAGUAGAGUAAAAGUUAAGUUAUGAGAAACUAUGAUCCAGUAAAAAUCAUUUUAUGUAAAGAAUAUUUAGAAUAUUUAAUGGCACAAGGACCUAGACACUCUAUAAUAAGUAGGAAAAAACAGGCUUCAGGCUUCAAAAUUAUGGUAGUAUUUCCCAGAAUACUUCUUAUGGGAUGUGAGGUCCUCCAUGGCCAAAUUAGCUUGAGAAAUGCUUAGCUAAUCAGAAUUAAAUAAGCUUAGGUACUGCAGGGUUGAGCUUCUUGGAGAUUCAUAGAACAUACGAUGGCUUAUAUUUUCCAAAUUUCUCUGACCUUGAAACUUUUUUUUAAUGCUUACUUAUUUUUGGGAGGGAGAGAGAGAGAGAGAGAGCACGAGGGGAAGGACAGAGAGAGAGGGAGACACAGAAUCCGAAGCAGGCUCCAGGCUCUGAGCUCAGAGCCUGACAUGGGGCUUGAACUCGCAAACUAUGAGAUCAUGACCUGAGCUGAAGUCAGACGCUUAAGUGACUGAGGCACCCACGUGCCCCUGACCUUGAAACUUUCUAAGGAAUACCUAUUAGUAUCUUUCAAAACACUCGGGUUCCAUAGAACAUAGUAUAGGAAAUGCUAAUUUGUAAUUCAGUCUUAUUUUUUGUUUUUAAAAAUGUACAUCUGUGUCUUCUCUGUUUAUAUGUGUACUUAUGUUUAUUUGUAUACGUAGAAAACUGGAGAAAAAAAUGUGAAAAGGGUUCCCUUGGGUUUGUGAAAUUACUGAUAAUUUUUUUUCUUUAUACUAGUCUGAAUUUCCAAGAUAUUCUAAGGGAAGAAAAGGUUGCUUCCAACAUUGAGAAAAAGUUGUAUUGUUUGUAAACUUUCAUAAAACCACAGUGACUAGUAUUUCACUCUCUAGCUCAAAGUGUGAGAAACAGUUGUAUGAAAAAACUCUAGGGCAGGAGGAAACUGGGAAGGAAUGGAUGUGUCUGUGGUCUUUGUGGGGUUUCCCCGGUGUAUACUUAUCCCUGGACUCAUCAAAGUGUGUACAUUAAAUAUGUACCACUUUUUACAUGACAGUCAUACCUCAGUGGAGUGUUCUCAAAGGAAGAGAAAACUCUAGCAUUGAGUCAGAUCUGAAUUCAGCCUCCCAUUGGUGAUUGUGAGCCAAGGUAUUUAAUCUCUCCUCCUUGCUUGCAAAAGAAGGGUCCUCUUAGUACCUCUCACACAACUGUUGUCAGAAUCACAUCAGGCCCUGCACAAACAUGUAAUAGGGGCUUAUAGAUGUGCAAAGAUGGCUUAAUUGGAUUUUUUGCUAGUUAUUAUAUUGUACAGCAAAGAUACCUCUUAAAUGAAGUUUACUACGUAUUGGAAGAAAUGUUUUUACUGUGCAAACAUACUUCUGAGAUGAAUGAAAUGCUCUUGUUCUUCAGCUAAGAACCCGGUUCACUCCAUUGAACUGGAGAGAAAUGUUUUUAGACUAAUAUAAAUGGUUUCCAUUGAA